rnacentral:rRNA from 1 species
UACGGGGGGAGCAAGCGUUGUUCGGAUUUACUGGGCGUAAAGGGCGCGUAGGCGGUAGCACAAGUCAGUUGUGAAAUCUCCGGGCUUAACUCGGAAAGGUCAACUGAUACUGUGCGACUAGAGUGCAGAAGGGGCAAGUGGAAUUCUCGGUGUAGCGGUGAAAUGCGUAGAUAUCGAGAGGAACACCCGUGGCGAAGGCGGCUUCCUGGGGCCAUCCUGACACUGAGAAGCGAAAGCUAGGGGAGCGAACGGG